AAGUCGUAACAAGGUUUCCGUAGGUGAACCUGCGGAAGGAUCAUUAACACAUCCUUUUCCAAAUAAUCAACGCGUGCACCUAACGAACCGCACCGGAGGAGGCUUAGGAGUUAUGCAUGGAUUCCCUACUGCUUCGGCGAGGGACUGGCUCCUAGGCUGUUCGUCCGCCCGAUGAACUUGUUCAUCACGGCGAGGCGAUGCUCUGACUUGGUCGGUGACUGACAGCCUCUUUGCAUGGCUGGCCCUUUUUUUUUCUUCUACCUUUCAAAUCUUCGAAAUGCUAGGCGCUGCUUUGCUUUC
rnacentral:misc_RNA from 1 species